rnacentral:rRNA from 1 species
AUGAACGCUGGCGGCGUGCUUAACACAUGCAAGUCGAACGAAGCACUUUAUUUGAUUUCCUUCGGGAUUGAUUAUUUUGUGACUGAGUGGCGGACGGGUGAGUAACGCGUGGGUAACCUGCCUUGUACAGGGGGAUAACAGUUGGAAACGGCUGCUAAUACCGCAUAAGCGCACGGCAUCGCAUGAUGCAGUGUGAAAAACUCCGGUGGUAUAAGAUGGACCCGCGUUGGAUUAGCUAGUUGGUGAGGUAAUGGCCCACCAAGGCGACGAUCCAUAGCCGACCUGAGAGGGUGACCGGCCACAUUGGGACUGAGACACGGCCCAAACUCCUACGGGAGGCAGCAGUGGGGAAUAUUGCACAAUGGGCGAAAGCCUGAUGCAGCGACGCCGCGUGAGCGAAGAAGUAUUUCGGUAUGUAAAGCUCUAUCAGCAGGGAAGAUAAUGACGGUACCUGACUAAGAAGCACCGGCUAAAUACGUGCCAGCAGCCGCGGUAAUACGUAUGGUGCAAGCGUUAUCCGGAUUUACUGGGUGUAAAGGGAGCGCAGGCGGUGCGGCAAGUCUGAUGUGAAAGCCCGGGGCUCAACCCCGGUACUGCAUUGGAAACUGUCGUACUAGAGUGUCGGAGGGGUAAGCGGAAUUCCUAGUGUAGCGGUGAAAUGCGUAGAUAUUAGGAGGAACACCAGUGGCGAAGGCGGCUUACUGGACGAUAACUGACGCUGAGGCUCGAAAGCGUGGGGAGCAAACAGGAUUAGAUACCCUGGUAGUCCACGCCGUAAACGAUGGAUACUAGGUGUGGGAGGUAUUGACCCCUUCCGUGCCGCAGUUAACACAAUAAGUAUCCCACCUGGGGAGUACGGCCGCAAGGUUGAAACUCAAAGGAAUUGACGGGGGCCCGCACAAGCGGAGGAACAUGUGGUUUAAUUCGAUGAUACGCGAGGAACCUUACCCGGGCUCAAACGCACGACGGCGGCACGUGAAAGCGUGCUUACCUACGGGACGUUGUGCGAGGUGCUGCAUGGUUGUCGUCAGCUCGUGUCGUGAGAUGUUGGGUUAAGUCCCGCAACGAGCGCAACCCUUAUCUUUAGUAGCCAGCGGUUCGGCCGGGCACUCUAGAGAGACUGCCAGGGAUAACCUGGAGGAAGGCGGGGAUGACGUCAAAUCAUCAUGCCCCUUAUGACUUGGGCUACACACGUGCUACAAUGGCGUAAACAAAGGGAAGCAAAGCUGUGAAGCCGAGCAAAUCUCAAAAAUAACGUCUCAGUUCGGACUGUAGUCUGCAACCCGACUACACGAAGCUGGAAUCGCUAGUAAUCGCAGAUCAGAAUGCUGCGGUGAAUACGUUCCCGGGUCUUGUACACACCGCCCGUCACACCAUGGGAGUUGGGAAUGCCCGAAGCCAGUGACCUAACCGAAAGGAAGGAGCUGUCGAAGGCAGGCUCGAUAACUGGGGUG